rnacentral:rRNA from 1 species
CCUACGGGAGGCAGCAGUGAGGAAUAUUGGUCAAUGGGCGUAAGCCUGAACCAGCCAAGUCGCGUGAGGGAUGAAGGUUCUAUGGAUCGUAAACCUCUUUUAUAAGGGAAUAAAGUGUGGGACGUGUCCUAUUUUGUAUGUACCUUAUGAAUAAGGAUCGGCUAACUCCGUGCCAGCAGCCGCGGUAAUCCGGAGGAUCCGAGCGUUAUCCGGAUUUAUUGGGGUUAAAGGGUGCGUAGGCGGGCUGUUAAGUCAGCGGUGAAAGUCUGUGGCUCAAACAGAGAAUUGCCGUUGAGACUGGGGGGCUUGAGUAUGUUUGAGGCAGGCGGAAUGCGUGGUGUAGCGGUGAAAUGCGUAGAUAUCACGCAGAACCCCGAUUGCGAAGGCAGCCUGCCAAGCCAUGACUGACGCUGAUGCACGAAAGCGUGGGGAUCAAACAGGAUUAGAUACCCGAGUAGUC